GGAAAAACUAAACGGCCGCGGAAUUUUAACCGUGCUAAGGUAGCAUAAUCAUUUGUCUUUUAAUUGAAGACCUGUAUGAAUGGUUUUACAAAAUUUAGCUGUCUCUUUUAUAAUAAAUAAAAAUUAUUUUUAAAGUUAAAAACCUUUAAUUAUAUAAAAAGACAAAAAGACCCCAUAGAGUUUUAUUCUUUAGUAUAUACUAUAUAAAAGAAUUUAGUUGGGGUAACUAAAGAAAAGUAAAUUUUCUUUUAAGUAAAAUAUUAUUAUAUCAUUUAUUAAAUAAAACAAAAUAAAUUACCUUGGGGGUAACAGCGUAAGUUUUUUUGAGAGUUCAAAUCGAAAAAAAAAAUUAC
rnacentral:rRNA from 1 species